UACGUAGGGUGCAAGCGUUGUCCGGAAUUAUUGGGCGUAAAGAGCUCGUAGGCGGUUCGUCGCGUCGGAUGUGAAAGCCCGGGGCUUAACCCCGGGUCUGCAUUCGAUACGGGCAGGCUAGAGUUCGGUAGGGGAGAUCGGAAUUCCUGGUGUAGCGGUGAAAUGCGCAGAUAUCAGGAGGAACACCGGUGGCGAAGGCGGAUCUCUGGGCCGAUACUGACGCUGAGGAGCGAAAGCGUGGGGAGCGAACAGG
rnacentral:rRNA from 1 species